UUACAAGGACAGAAAAAAAUCACCUGCCAGACAAAUGGAGAAUGGAGCAGCCCAUUUCCUAAAUGUGUUGAGGCAACAUGUCCUCUACAGUGGAACACAACAGAAGACUUAAAAAUUGAGAGACUCCCUGAUAUUGAGGGUCCAGUCAAACCUGGAAAAAAUUAUAAUUUUUUCAUGCACUGGACAAGGUCUGAUUUUAAAAGAACAGAGAGAAAUCACCUGUCAGUCAAAUGUAGAAUGGAGCAGCCCUUUUCCUAAAUGUGAUGAGGCAAUAUGGGUUGCAAAACUCACAGAGAACAUGAGAUCAGAUGAACACCCGGGGUCUGAGGUCUCAAUCAGACCAGGACACACAAUAACUCUUUCAUGUGUUGGGAGUGGAUCUACAUUACUAGGACAGAACAAAAUCACCUGUCAAUCAAAUGGAGAAUGGAGCAACCCUUUUCCUAAAUGUGAAGGUAUGGUCUCUGACUGAACAGAGAUAGAUCUGUGGCUCACAUGGAGGAUGACUGGCCAGAUCUUUCUAUUUUUACAGGCAAUAUGUGUUGGCUAAUAUUGAGAUGUAUUGAUGCCACAUUUUCUUGAUAACAGGAUGACAGUCUCAGGGAAAUGUGGGCCACCAGA